UAAUAAGUGUUUUAUGGCACUUUUUAAAUCCAUAUCCACCUUGUGUGCAAUGUCAGUCGUUCUCUUUAUGGAGGAUGGCCAAACAUCAACCUAUUUUUUAACUCUUUGUCUGAAAAAUAUUAUGAAUAAAUAAUUCAAAAUA
rnacentral:misc_RNA from 1 species